AGAGCGAACGCUGGCGGCAGGCUUAACACAUGCAAGUCGAGCGGGCGGUAGCAAUACGUCAGCGGCAGACGGGUGAGUAACGCGUGGGAACGUACCUUUUGGUUCGGAACAACACAGGGAAACUUGUGCUAAUACCGGAUAAGCCCUUACGGGGAAAGAUUUAUCGCCGAAAGAUCGGCCCGCGUCUGAUUAGCUAGUUGGUGAGGUAACGGCUCACCAAGGCGACGAUCAGUAGCUGGUCUGAGAGGAUGAUCAGCCACAUUGGGACUGAGACACGGCCCAAACUCCUACGGGAGGCAGCAGUGGGGAAUAUUGGACAAUGGGCGCAAGCCUGAUCCAGCCAUGCCGCGUGAGUGAUGAAGGCCCUAGGGUUGUAAAGCUCUUUUGUGCGGGAAGAUAAUGACGGUACCGCAAGAAUAAGCCCCGGCUAACUUCGUGCCAGCAGCCGC
rnacentral:rRNA from 1 species